rnacentral:rRNA from 1 species
AGCGAACGCUGGCGGCAGGCCUAACACAUGCAAGUCGAACGAACUCUUCGGAGUUAGUGGCGGACGGGUGAGUAACACGUGGGAACGUGCCUUUUGGUUCGGAAUAACUCAGGGAAACUUGUGCUAAUACCGAAUGUGCCCUUCGGGGGAAAGAUUUAUCGCAAUUAGAGCGGCCCGCGUCUGAUUAGCUAGUUGGUGAGGUAACGGCUCACCAAGGCGACGAUCAGUAGCUGGUCUGAGAGGAUGACCAGCCACACUGGGACUGAGACACGGCCCAGACUCCUACGGGAGGCAGCAGUGGGGAAUCUUGCGCAAUGGGCGAAAGCCUGACGCAGCCAUGCCGCGUGAAUGAUGAAGGUCUUAGGAUUGUAAAAUUCUUUCACCGGGGACGAUAAUGACGGUACCCGGAGAAGAAGCCCCGGCUAACUUCGUG